CCUACGGGUGGCAGCAGUGAGGAAUAUUGGUCAAUGGACGAGAGUCUGAACCAGCCAAGUAGCGUGAAGGAUGACUGCCCUAUGGGUUGUAAACUUCUUUUAUAUGGGAAUAAAACGUUCCACGUGUGGGAUUUUGUAUGUACCAUAUGAAUAAGGAUCGGCUAACUCCGUGCCAGCAGCCGCGGUAAUACGGAGGAUCCGAGCGUUAUCCGGAUUUAUUGGGUUUAAAGGGAGCGUAGGUGGAUUGUUAAGUCAGUUGUGGACGUUUGCGGCUCAACCGUAAAAUUGCAGUUGAAACUGGUAGUCGGGAGUACAGUAGAGGUGGGCGGGAUUGGUGGUGUAGCGGGGAAAUGCGUAGAGAGGACGAAGAAGGGCGAUUGCGGAGGGAG
rnacentral:rRNA from 1 species